UGGGGAAUUUUGGACAAUGGGCGAAAGCCUGAUCCAGCAAUGCCGCGUGUGUGAAGAAGGCCUUCGGGUUGUAAAGCACUUUUGUCCGGAAAGAAAUCCUUGGCUCUAAUACAGUCGGGGGAUGACGGUACCGGAAGAAUAAGCACCGGCUAACUACGUGCCAGCAGCCGCGGUAAUACGUAGGGUGCAAGCGUUAAUCGGAAUUACUGGGCGUAAAGCGUGCGCAGGCGGUUUGCUAAGACCGAUGUGAAAUCCCCGGGCUCAACCUGGGAACUGCAUUGGUGACUGGCAGGCUAGAGUAUGGCAGAGGGGGGUAGAAUUCCACGUGUAGCAGUGAAAUGCGUAGAGAUGUGGAGGAAUACCGAUGGCGAAGGCAGCCCCCUGGGCCAAUACUGACGCUCAUGCACGAAAGCGUGGGGGAGCAAACAGGAUUAGAUACCCUGGGUAGUCCACGCCCUAAACGAUGUCAACUAGUUGUUGGGGAUUCAUUUCCUUAGUAACGUAGCUAACGCGUGAAGUUGACCGCCUGGGGAGUACGGUCGCAAGAUUAAAACUUAAAGGAAUUGACGGGGUCAUA
rnacentral:rRNA from 1 species